rnacentral:rRNA from 1 species
AUUGAACGCUGGCGGCAGGCUUAACACAGGCAAGUCGAGCGAGCGGCGGAUGGGUGAGUCAUGUCUGGGAAACUGCCUGAUGGAGGGGGAUAACUACUGGAAACGGUAGCUAAUACCGCAAACCAUCGGAGUUGCCCAGAUGGGAUUAGCUAGUAGGUGGGGUAAUGGCUCACCUAGGCGACGAUCCCUAGCUGGUCUGAGAGGAUGACCGGCCACAACGGAACUGAGACACGUUCCAGACCCCGCCGGAAGGCAGAAGUGGUGAAUAUUGAACAAUGGGCGCAAGCCUCAUGCAGCCAUGCGCCGUGUGUGAAGAAGGCCGUCGGGUUGUAAAGCACUUUCAGCGAGGAGGCGUUACUCGCAGAAGAAGCACCGGCUAACUCCGUGCCAGCAGCCGCGGUAAUAC